GGGUCACUGGCAGAGUGGUCGAUUGCACCGGUCUUGAAAACCGGCGAGGGUAAUACCUCCCAAGGUUCAAAUCCUUGGUGGCCCGCCA
rnacentral:tRNA from 1 species